CUCGUGGAGGGUCGUCGACUGUUCAGUAGGACGUGUUUGACCCUGUCCAGACAAGGCAACACCCCAGCAGAGGACCAGCAUCUCCAACAGGAGAAGGAGGAGGAAGACACCACCAGCACCAGUAACACAGCCACCCUGACCCAGGACCCAGACGCCCAAACGUAGGAGGCCUCCCAGACAACUUCAGACACCGGGAAGGGAACAUCAGGACCCGGGCCAGCUCACCAGGAGGGGAGAACCACAUCUGCCCCACCACCCAGAUGGCUGCAGGGAAGCCAUUUCCACUGGCACACAUAUGUGGACCUGGUGCGCUAGCACAUAUCAGUCCCACAAAGGCACGCAGGACGCAAUGAACCACAGGGUGGAGGCAGAGGCAGAGGCAGAGGCAGAGGCAGAGUGGCGCAGGUGCUUGCUGGAUGAGUUCGUCCAGCAGUGCACUGAGAUUUGAGCUGCUAUCCGGGAGGUCAUGGCCUUCCCCAGUCCUCUGCCUGGUCCUACUCCUCCUGCUCAGCCUGCUCCUCUACUCAGCCCCUGCCCGCCGUCACUCCCUGCUUCCCCCUCAACUCCUGCCCCUCCUCAGUCCCUGCCAUCCCAGACUCAGCUACAGACCCACCUCCUGCCCAGCCCCCUACUGUCCCAGCCCGCAGGCGCACCCGUCUCUGAUCUGUCCUCUACAGCCAAGGUGGCAGGGGCUCCUCAUCCUAGGCGGCAUCCUCAGCUAUGGGCCUCCCUCCCCCUUUCCAUGUUGGCAUCUCCUUUCCCCCAGUGAAAGUUACUGAGGGAAGUACUUUAUUUUCAGUGCUAACAAAAACAAUUUAUUUUUCAGAAUACAAGAGUUUUAUAGUUUUGUAACAAUUCCACAGUGAAGUAAA